rfam:Ailuropoda melanoleuca scaffold3383_15, whole genome shotgun sequence.
GCCUGGGUGGCUCAGUCGUUAAGCGUCUGCCUUUGGCUCAGGACGUGAUCCUGGUGUUGUGGGAUCAAGCCCCACAUCAGGCU